GGAAGCCAUAAAUACCCAUAAUAGUUAUGGCGCCGAAGCCAUUGUCAUGCAGAAAUUUUUCUCUCUCGCCGAUUUUGCUUGGUGAGAUGAGAGAGACGCUCAGUUGUUGUCAUUCGACGCUGCUGUGGAGACUUUUACCGGCCGGUUUUAAAAUUUUUAAAAUCGAUUGUGCGACGGCCAAAGAGAAGCGUCUAUAAAAGCCGGCGUCGGCCUGCCCGUUACCUCAAAUUUGCGUCGUAACCCAAUCAAUUGUGUACGUUCAGGGUUCCUGUUUGUCCUACAAUAUAAACCACCAGUGAGAUUUGUUUGAAGCUGAUAGCAGAAGCAAGGAGUGGCCGAGAUUAACAUCUAAUAACACCCCGGGCCACCCGACGUGCUUUCAUCCAUCAUGCAGUUGUCCCGAGCCGGUGCCGUCCUGUUCCGGACCGAUACGAUUUGUUGCCAAAAACAAACGCUCUAAGCGUGCGGUUUCUGGCAACAAAUUUAAUAGAAAUUACAGUGGUUGGUAUCUUUGCCCGGAAUGGCGUGGCCGGAUUCGAUUCCAGGUCGGGUCGUUCCGAGUAAAUUUUUCCCUCUAUCUGGACCCGGUGAGCUGGCGCCGAUGGACCCACGAGGACCGGAGGUUUCCCACUCGCCAAAAACCAACACGAUUCCGGAAGGUUCGGUCAUCUGAGAAUGCUGACGAUUCGGAAUCGAAUUUUUUUUAGUGACGCAUGACGACAAUUGAAAAAAAAGAUGGACGAAAUAAAAAUUUAAUGUUUGUGUAAACUAAA